AGAGUUGGCAUUGCUUUACUUUUUUUUCCUUCCAGGCAGGCUUGUGUUUUAGUGUAGAGGUAAAAAUGAUAGAAUGAACUCACACAAAUAAUAACUUACAAUAAUUGUUUACCUUAAAACAAUCUACGAAGCUUGGGGUUGAUCUUUCAUUGACGAAGUGUACAUUUUGUCUAAAACCUUAAUGACCUGAACAAUGAAACCACACAUAGGGUGGGGUUCAUUGCAAUAGUUCCAUCUAGCGUACUAUUGGAGAACAACACUUGCUCAAAUGCGUGAGAGCAUGUUCUAUUAAAUCGCUUUUCUUAAUUCUCUGUGAUUUUGAAAUUUAGAUCAUAUUUGUUAAACACAUUUUCGAGAAAUAAACGUUUCUUACAAUGACGAUGAAACGCUUUAAAUUGAUCACGUGUGUCCACAAGUUCCAGUCCUUGUCAGCUGAGAUCCAAUUUCACGAUAUGCGCUGUCAAUUGUCAACGCAACCUUUUCUAUAGUGGAUGUUCUUUACUGCGAAACGAAUGUAAGUUAGAAUAUAUGUCCUGCUCACUAUUGAAAUUAAGUUGAUAACGAACGUUUAGAAGUAAAACAGUCUAGCGUAGCCGACCACACACUCCUCUAAAACGUGACUUUUCUGUGGGCGACUGUUGCAACCACCAAAUAUUGAUUUCAAGCCCCGGAAUAUAGGCAAAUUUCCCGGAUAUCAAAGCUGAUUGAUGAAUGUUUUUUUAAUCACCUGUUGCGCAUGGAAUCUAACAAUAACACUUUGCCCAGGUUGGAUCUGGCCUGCUACUUUGGACACAAAGAUGUUGUGGAGGAGCUACUCAAGGAAGUAGUUAUUUUUCUGUUGCGAUACCUGUGCCACUAUCAUCUACGGGACAGCCCAGGUCCCUAAAUCUGUCUACGAGGAUAAUGAGACCAUCGCCAUGCACGAGGGUAAGUUGUGUGAUUGAUGGUCUCGCUUCGUCCCUGCACUAGGUUGUGUUCAGU
rnacentral:lncRNA from 1 species